GUAACACGUGAGUAACCUGCCCAUAAGACUGGGAUAACUCCGGGAAACCGGGGCUAAUACCGGAUAACAUUUUGAACCGCAUGGUUCGAAAUUGAAAGGCGGCUUCGGCUGUCACUUAUGGAUGGACCCNCGUCGCAUUAGCUAGUUGGUGAGGUAACGGCNCACCAAGGCAACGAUGCGGNCCNGACCUGAGAGGGNGAUCGGCCACACGGGACUGAGACACGGCCCAAACUCCUACGGGAGGCAGCAGUAGGGAAUCUUCCGCAAUGGACGAAAGUCUGACGGAGCAACGCCGCGUGAGUGAUGAAGGCUUUCGGGUCGUAAAACUCUGUUGUUAGGGAAAAACAAGUGCUAGUUGAAUAAGCUGGCACCUUGACGGUACCUAACCAAAAAGCCACGGCUAACUACGUGCCAGCAGCCGCGGUAAUACGUAGGUGGCAAGCGUUAUCUGGAAUUAUUGGGCGUAAAGCGCGCGCAGGUGGUUUCUUAAGUCUGAUGUGAAAGCGCACGGCUCAACCGUGGAGGGUCAUUGGAAACUGGGAGACUUGAGUGCAGAAGAGGAAAGUGGAAUUCCAUGUGUAGCGGUGAAAUGCGUAGAGAUAUGGAGGAACACCAGUGGCG
rnacentral:rRNA from 1 species